rnacentral:rRNA from 1 species
GACGAACGCUGGCGGCGUGCCUAAUACAUGCAAGUCGAGCGAAUCGAUGGGAGCUUGCUCCCUGAGAUUAGCGGCGGACGGGUGAGUAACACGUGGGUAACCUGCCUGUAAGACUGGGAUAACUUCGGGAAACCGGAGCUAAUACCGGAUAAUUUCUUUUCUCGCAUGAGAGAAGAUGGAAAGAUGGCAUCUCGCUAUCACUUACAGAUGGACCCGCGGCGCAUUAGCUAGUUGGUGAGGUAACGGCUCACCAGGGCGACGAUGCGUAGCCGACCUGAGAGGGUGAUCGGCCACACUGGGACUGGGACACGGCCCAGACUCCUACGGGAGGCAGCAGUAGGGAAUCUUCCGCAAUGGACGAAAGUCUGACGGAGCAACGCCGCGUGAGCGAAGAAGGCCUUCGGGUCGUAAAGCUCUGUUGUUAGGGAAGAACAAGUACGAGAGUAACUGCUCGUACCUUGACGGUACCUAACCAGAAAGCCACGGCUAACUACGUGCCAGCAGCCGCUGUAA